rnacentral:rRNA from 1 species
GGAAUUGACGGGGCCGCACAGCGGUGGAGCAUGUGGUUUAAUUCGAAGCAAGCGAAGAACCUUACCAGGUCUUGACAUCCCGAUGCUAUUUCUAGAGAUAGAAAGUUUACUUCGGUACAUCGGUGACAGGUGGUGCAUGGUUGUCGUCAGCUCGUGCCGUGAGGUGUUAGGUUAAGUCCUGCAACGAGCGCAACCCUCGUCGCUAGUUAAAUUUUUCUAGCGAUACUGCCCGUAAAACGAGGAGGAAGGUGGGGAUGACGUCAAGUCAGCAUGGCCCUUACGCCUUGGGCUACACACACGCUACAAUGGGUGAUACAACGGGUUGCGAGAGAGCGAUCUGGAGCUAAUCCCUAAAAUCAUCCUCAGUUCGGAUUGCAGGCUGAAACUGCCUGCAUGAAGUUGGAGUUGCUAGUAACCGCAGGUCAGCACACUGCGGUGAAUACGUUCUCGGGCCUU